rnacentral:ncRNA from 1 species
AGGUAUCAGGAGUAACGCCCUGAUUGAAAAGGGAAUACGGUGAAAGUCCGUAACAGACCCGCUGCUGUAAGUCCGCACACUCUCUUGUGUGUCAUUCGCAAAAAUCCACUGAUAUGGGGCAACCAUAUUGGGAAGGAGGCGAAAUAGGAUAAGUCAGAAGACCUGCCUAUUUUU